AACGCCAAACUAAAGAACUGUAACCUCAGGGGAGCAACGUUGGCAGGAACUGAUUUGGAAGUUGUGACCUCCAGGAAGCCAAUUUGAGGGGCUCUGAUGUGAAAGGAGCCAUCUUUGAAGAGAUGCUGACCCCCCUGCACAUGUCCCAGAGCGUCAGAUAGGGAAGAGAACACGUCGAAGAGGAAGGAAUCCAAACAUUUGUUGUGACUUUCUUCACCUCCUCCCCUUCCUGAGUUAGAAGGAAUGGUUAUUAGACAACUUCCAUUUGCA